UAAUCAGUGAAACUGAUCUCUCCGUGAAGAAGCGGGGAUACUCCUAUAAGACGAAAAGACCCCAUGGAGCUUCAAACCCAACUACACCCUUAACUACCACAACCGCACAACCUCUUAGGGCCCUGUAUAGUUGGUUUUAGGUUGGGGCGACCACGGAGUACAACCAAACCUCCGCAAUGGACGGGACCACUCCCUUAUCUAAGAGCCACACCUCUAAGAAUUAAAACACUAACAUAAAAUGAUCCAUGAUCUGAUCAAUGAACCAAGUUACCCUGGGGAUAACAGCGCAAUCCAUUUCAAGAGCCCUUAUCGACAAGU
rnacentral:rRNA from 1 species